rnacentral:rRNA from 1 species
AACGAACGCUGGCGGCAUGCCUAACACAUGCAAGUCGAACGAGACCUUCGGGUCUAGUGUCGCACGGGUGCGUAACGCGUGGGAACCUGCCCUUAGGUUCGGAAUAACUCCCCGAAAGGGGUGCUAAUACCGGAUAAUGUCUUCGGACCAAGGAUUUAUCGCCUUUGGAUGGGCCCGCGUUGGAUUAGCUAGUUGUUAGGGUAAACGCCUACCAAGGCGACGAUCCAUAGCUGGUCUGAGAGGAUGAUCAGCCACACUGGGACUGAGACACGGCCCAGACUCCUACGGGAGGCAGCAGUGGGGAAUAUUGGACAAUGGGCGAAAGCCUGAUCCAGCAAUGCCGCGUGAGUGAUGAAGGCCUUAGGGUUGUAAAGCUCUUUUACCCGGGAUGAUAAUGACAGUACCGGGAGAAUAAGCUCCGGCUAACUCCGUG